UACGUAGGGGGCUAGCGUUGUCCGGAAUCAUUGGGCGUAAAGCGCGCGUAGGCGGCCCGGUAAGUCCGCUGUGAAAGUCAAAGGCUCAACCUUUGAAUGUCAACGGAUACUGCCGGGCUAGAGUCCGGAAGAGGCGAGUGGAACUCCUGGUGUAGCGGUGGAAUGCGCAGAUAUCAGGAGGAACACCGGUGGCGAAGGCGGAUCUCUGGGCAGUAACUGACGCUGAGGAGCGAAAGCGUGGGGAGCAAACAGG
rnacentral:rRNA from 1 species